UAGGGUAAUGAAGCGAACCGGGAGAACUGAAACAUCUAAGUACCCCGAGGAAAAGAAAUCAAACGAGAUUCCCCCAGUAGCGGCGAGCGAACGGGGAGCAGCCCAGGACCUUAAUCAGCAUCAGUGUUAAGAGAACAGUCUGGAAAGGCUGGCCACAGCAGGUGAUAGCCCUGUAUCUGAAAGCACUGGUGUUGUGAGUCCGAUGAGUAAGGCGGGACACGUGUUAUCCUGUCUGAAUACGGGGGGACCAUCCUCCAAGGCUAAAUACUCCUGACUGACCGAUAGUGAACCAGUACCGUGAGGGAAAGGCGAAAAGAACCCCGGCGAGGGGAGUGAAAAAGAACCUGAAACCGUGUACGUACAAGCAGUGGGAGCACCCUUCGGGGUGUGACUGCGUACCUUUUGUAUAAUGGGUCAGCGACUUAUAUUCUGUAGCAAGGUUAACCGAAUAGGGGAGCCGCAGGGAAACCGAGUCUUAACUGGGCGAAUUAGUUGCAGGGUAUAGACCCGAAACCCGGUGAUCUAGCCAUGGGCAGGUUGAAGGUUGGGUAACACUAACUGGAGGACCGAACCGACUAAUGUUGAAAAAUUAGCGGAUGACUUGUGGCUGGGGGUGAAAGGCCAAUCAAACCGGGAGAUAGCUGGUUCUCCCCGAAAGCU
rnacentral:rRNA from 1 species